rnacentral:tRNA from 1 species
GGUUAGGUGGCUGAGCGGUAGGCGAUAGAUUGUAAAUUUAUAUAGGGGAGGUUUCCCCCUAACCA